GGCCCAGUAGUUUCAGUGGAAAAUGUUAGUAAAAAUCUACAAAUUUUAUGAAAAUUGUUAAAAAUUGACUGUAAAGGACAAUAACUCCUUAGGGAGUCAAUUGAUCAUUUUGGUCAUGUUGACUUAUUUUUAGGUCUUACUUUGUUUUACAUUAUUGCUGUUUACAGUUUAUCUCUAUUUAUAAUAAUAUUCAAGAUAAUAAC
rnacentral:lncRNA from 1 species